rnacentral:rRNA from 1 species
GACGAACGCUGGCGGCGUGCCUAACACAUGCAAGUCGAGCGGAGAUGAUGUGAGGAAGUUUUCGGAUGGAAUCACAUUAUUUUAGCGGCGGACGGGUGAGUAACGCGUGAGCGACCAACCUUGCACAGGGGGAUAACGGACCGAAAGGUUCACUAAUACCGCAUGAGACCACGGUGUUGCAUGACACAGAGGUCAAAGGAGCAAUCCGGUGCAAGACGGGCUCGCGUCCGAUUAGGUAGUUGGAGGGGUAACGGCCCACCAAGCCUAUGAUCGGUAGCCGACCUGAGAGGGUGAUCGGCCACAUUGGAACUGAGACACGGCCCAGACUCCUACGGGAGGCAGCAGUGGGGAAUUUUGGACAAUGGGCGAAAGCCUGAUCCAGCCAUGCCGCGUGCAGGAUGAAGGCCUUCGGGUUGUAAACUGCUUUUGUACGGAACGAAAAGUCGUUCUCUAAUACAGGGGCGAAUGACGGUACGUAAGAAUAAGCACCGGCUAACUACGUGCC